rnacentral:tRNA from 1 species
GCCCGGUUAGCUCAAUCGGUAGAGCGUGAGACUCUUACGAGGCACACGUUCUGAUGUGACAAUCUCAAGGUUGCGGGUUCGACCCCCGCAUCGGGCU